ACUUUGGUGCCUACUGCGAAUUAGA
rnacentral:piRNA from 1 species